rnacentral:tRNA from 1 species
UGGCACAGUGAUUAUGCGCUCAGCUGCUAACUGAAAGGUCGGUGGUUCGAACCCACC